AACCGCAUAGAGCCAAACGGGUGGAUCCGCAGAGUCGACCCGGGGAAUUCAGCCCGGCCGCCAGCGGCGCUCGCAAAGUUCGGAUCCGCAAGGACCGGGCCAGCGGGACGUCCGCGUGGCAGGGUGCACUUUCUCCGCGGUCGAGUGCUACGACCGGUUUCGCGGCGGUCAGAAGCCCGGCGGAAAGGUAGCGCCGCCCCUCGGGGUGUCGUGUUAUAGGCCGCCGCGGUGGACUCGCCGCGAGACCGAGGACGCUUGCCGCGCCGAGUGGUCCCGGGCCGUCUUGGGAGGUUCGACCUCGGCUGCACUGCUCCGCAGAGCACCGUAACCGCCGCCCUAGCACGGGUCCGGAGACCGCCGGCGCCUCGGGUCAGUAGCGAAU
rnacentral:rRNA from 1 species